rnacentral:lncRNA from 1 species
UAUUUCUAUCUCUAUCUCCCUCCUUGCCUAACCCUUCUUCCCUCCCUCUCCCUCAGUCUGACUCCCCCUCUUUCUUCUCCUUUUUCUUACAAGUGUGUGUGUGUGUGUGUGUGUGCGCGCGCGCGCGCGCGCGCGUGUGGGUGUGUGUGUGCAUUAUUUUUUUAACCUUAUGAACAAGGACCCUCUUAAGACUGAGGAGGGCUGUCACCCGCCACCUGUGUCUAUCCCCCUUGUUGUCUUUGGUUCUGUUCUUGCCAAGCCCCACACAGGGAGAAAGUGGCCUCUCUCCCCCCCUUACUUGGCUAGGAAUAUUCUCACAGCUUUGGCCUGCAGAUAUCACCAGGAAGCAGGCACCCCGUCGCGCCUCCCAGCACCGUCUUCUCCUUUCUGCAUUUUUUUUCUCCUACCUCCCACCUUCAUUCCCACCCCUCCAAAAAGCCUUAGGUUUCUCCUUUUUGAAAUGUGGCCUUAAAAUUAUUUUUGGAAAGCUGACAUCCUCCCCCUCUAAUUUUCUCCACCAUCAUGGGAGAGAGAACAUCUUGAAGCCUGGGUGUGUGGCGGCCUCCUGAGCAAAGGGACUGCCAAUCUGUAGUCUGCAGAUGCACUAGGAAUGACUUAAAUGUCAUCUUUAAGAAAAAAAAGUUCUCAUAUUUUUUCCUAUGGGCAAAAUGAAGUCUUGGCUGCUCGUGCAGUUCUGAAGCGUCCUCCAUGUUGCUGUGGCAGUGGCUGGAACCACCAGCAGAUGUUCACUACAGCUUCCUGGCCUCCCCUUCCCUCAAGACCCAGUGACUUUAGGUACUUCAUUUAAGGAUGAGUCAGGAAUGUUUCUCAGUUUAUCGCUUAUCUUCCUUGCCGGGAAAGUGACAGCAUUAAGUAUUCCCAGUGGAUGGGUCAUUUCCUGAAGGGAUGGUCCAUUCUGUCCUUCAGACUCCACCUCGAACCCCUUCCAUCACUCUAGUGCUGAUGGGAGCCAAAGACAACCCCAGGGUUUUCAUAGGAAGUUCGCUGGUAUUGAGUGUAAUUGUCCUUAUCCACUGACCUUUACUUUUAAAGGAUUCAAAAGAGACUCUUCUGUUGUCUGUAGCAUUUGUCCUGAUGUUUGUUUUAGAGGCCUGGAGAUAAGUCAUUACUGCCUCCUUCUUUGUUUUCAAAGACAUGUGGUGAUAUAGUUUUUAAAAAUAACUAUUUUGUUAUAGAUCAUAAUAUGCAUAAAACUGUACAGAAAUAUUUUGUAAUGUAUUGAUUUUAAAAAAGAGAAUCUGUAAAUAAAAGUUUAAAAAAUAAGAAAGAGUUCACAUGGCACACGCUGAAAGAUGUAGAUAUUUUGCUAUUUAUUUAAAGGAGUAUUUUAAGAAAUAUUAAACUAUCUGAAUUGACCAAUAAUCAAAGUUCUAAUCAUCUGAAUACUUGUCAUCCAGGUAGAGUCCAGCUCUCACAGACAACUGUGUUACCGCCCAUAUCUGCCUCUUUCCUGUCUUUUGAUUUAGCAAAAAACAACAACAAAAUUGUGCCUUAGCUGUAUUUCUGUCUAGGGGAAUCUGUUUCUGUCCAACAAAGCAACUUUUUUUUUUGCAGAAAACAGUGGAUUAUUAAAUACUGUAUUAUACCAAAAACACCACAGGUGUACAUAGAUGCUUUCUGCCAUACUGUGUUUUCAGAUGCAGAAUUUUAAAAUAAAAGAAAAAUGUCUCUAUGAAAUCUCA